rnacentral:tRNA from 1 species
AAAGUGGCUCAGGGGUAGAGCAAUUCACUCGUAAUGAAUAGGUCGUGGGUUCGAUUCCCACCUUUG